rnacentral:lncRNA from 1 species
UGCAAACCUGUCAUCUCAGUGCUCAGGAGGCUAAGGCAGGAAUAUCUACAGAGUUGCCGUGUUCCAAGUCAGCUUCUGAUGGACAAAAGUAGUUUUUAAAACACCUCCAACUGACCACACACUUUCCUCUUUCUGCUGCCUGUAGAAGAGCAUCGCUGUUUGCCAUGAAGCCAUCUUCCCCACCUCUCAGCAGCAUUACCUUCCGGAGAAGCAGCAGCAGUUCACUAGUGAAUUGCCUCAAAGGAGCCAAUUGUGACUCUGAUAGAGUUCACAUCAGGAGCAUCAAUAGAUGCUGCACGGUCGUCAUUCUCCAAAGCAAAGCAUGGCAGGAUCUCCCGAAGACACACGCAGCCUGGAAAGAGAAUUAGUUUAUUU